GGCCCAUUGCUAGGAAACAUUG
rnacentral:miRNA from 1 species